rnacentral:rRNA from 1 species
AGAGUUUGAUCAUGGCUCAGGAUGAACGCUGGCGGCGUGCCUAACACAUGCAAGUCGAGCGAUUCUCUUCGGAGAAGAGCGGCGGACGGGUGAGUAACGCGUGGGUAACCUGCCCCAAAGAGGGGGACAACAGUUGGAAACGACUGCUAAUACCGCAUAAGCCCACGGGUCGGCAUCGACCAGAGGGAAAAGGAGCAAUCCGCUUUGAGAUGGCCUCGCGUCCGAUUAGCUAGUUGGUGAGGUAACGGCCCACCAAGGCAACGAUCGGUAGCCGGACUGAGAGGUUGAACGGCCACAUUGGGACUGAGACACGGCCCAG